rnacentral:tRNA from 1 species
GCUUCUAUAGUUCAAGGGAUAGAAUGUCAGUUUCCUAAACUGAAGAUCCAAGUUCGAAUCUUGGUGGAAGUA